AGUCGAGCGGGGGUAGCAAUACCCUAGCGGCGAACGGGUGAGUAAUGCCUAGGAAUCUGCCUUGUAGUGGGGGAUAACGUCCGGAAACGGACGCUAAUACCGCAUACGUCCUACGGGAGAAAGGGGGGGAUCUUCGGACCUUCCGCUAUAAGAUGAGCCUAGGUCGGAUUAGCUAGUUGGUGGGGUAAAGGCCUACCAAGGCGACGAUCCGUAGCUGGUCUGAGAGGAUGAUCAGCCACACUGGAACUGAGACACGGUCCAGACUCCUACGGGAGGCAGCAGUGGGGAAUAUUGGACAAUGGGGGCAACCCUGAUCCAGCCAUGCCGCGUGUGUGAAGAAGGCCUUCGGGUUGUAAAGCACUUUAAGCGGGGAGGAAGGUUCGCUGGCUAAUAUCCAGCGGAAUUGACGUUAUCUGCAGAAUAAGCACCGGCUAACUCUGUGCCAGCAGCCGCGGUAAUACAGAGGGUGCAAGCGUUAAUCGGAAUUACUGGGCGUAAAGCGCGCGUAGGCGGUUGUGUAAGUUGGAGGUGAAAUCCCCGGGCUUAACCUGGGCACUGCCUUCAAAACUGCACGGCUAGAGUAUGGGAGAGGAAGGUAGAAUUCCAGGUGUAGCGGUGAAAUGCGUAGAGAUCUGGAGGAAUACCGAUGGCGAAGGCAGCCUUCUG
rnacentral:rRNA from 1 species